rnacentral:rRNA from 1 species
ACAGGUGCUGCAUGGCUGUCGUCAGCUCGUGUCGUGAGAUGUUCGGUUAAGUCCGCUAACGAGCGCAACCCUCGCUGUGUGUUACAAGUGUCACACGGUACUGCCGGUCUUAAGCCGGAGGAAGUGGGGAUGACGUCAAGUCAGCAUGGCCUUUAUGUCCUGGGCUACACACACGCUACAAUGGCCAACACAAUAGGUUGCUAAGCCGCGAGGUGGAGCCAAUCCUCAAAGUUGGUCUCAGUUCAGAUUGCAGGCUGCAACCCGCCUGCAUGAAGAUGGAGUUGCUAGUAACCGCAGGUCAGCUAUACUGCGGUGAAUACGUUCCCGGGGCUU